ACAGGGAUUGCCCUAGUAACGGCGAGUGAAGCGGCAUCAGCUCAAAUUUGAAAUCUGGCUCUUUUAGGGUCCGAGUUGUAAUUUGCAGAGGGCGCUUUGGCGUUGGCAGCGGUCCAAGUUCCUUGGAACAGGACGUCACAGAGGGUGAGAAUCCCGUACGUGGUCGCUGGCCUUCGCCGUGUAAAGCCCCUUCGACGAGUCGAGUUGUUUGGGAAUGCAGCUCUAAAUGGGAGGUAAAUUUCUUCUAAAGCUAAAUACUGGCCAGAGACCGAUAGCGCACAAGUAGAGUGAUCGAAAGAUGAAAAGCACUUUGGAAAGAGAGUCAAAUAGCACGUGAAAUUGUUGAAAGGGAAGCGCUUGCAGCCAGACUUGCCUGUAGUUGCUCAUCCGGGCUUUUGCCCGGUGCACUCUUCUGCGGGCAGGCCAGCAUCAGUCUAGGCGGUUGGAUAAAGGCCUCUGUCACGUACCUCCUUUCGGGGAGGCCUUAUAGGGGAGGCGUAAUGCAACCAGCCUGGACUGAGGUCCGCGCAUUUGCUAGGAUGCUGGCGUAAUGGCUGUAAGCGGCCCGUCUUGAAACACGGACCAAGGAGUCUAACAUCUAUGCGAGUGUUUGGGUGUCAAGCCCGAACGCGUAAUGAAAGUGAACGGAGGUGGGAUCCCUUUAGGGUGCACCAUCGACCGAUCCUGAUGUCUUCGGAUGGAUUUGAGUAAGAGCAUGGCUGUUGGGACCCGAAAGAUGGUGAACUAUGCUUGAAUAGGGUGAAGCCAGAGGAAACUCUGGUGGAGGCUCGCAGCGGUUCUGACGUGCAAAUCGAUCGUCAAAUUUGGGCAUAGGGGCGAAAGACUAA
rnacentral:rRNA from 1 species